UCCAUCUAUAUGUACAUCUUUAUAUGUAGAUGUAGACUUCUCCUUAGCCUGUUCUGUGUUGGUCAGUCUUUCUGUUGACAGUUUUGUAUUUAGGUCACACAGGAGGCCUCAGGCUGCAGUAAAGCACGUCCUCUACAGGAGUGAUUGACACCUUCUCUGAUAGUGAAUGAAGUUUCCAGCUUCUCUGAGCUCCAGCCACAAUAAUAGACCAGAGCUGCACACUGAUGCUCUACCCUCGUCUCAUUUAUUCAUUCAGUGCUUUAUGUGGAAAUUGGCUGGUAUUGAUCACAAUAUGUUUCCAAAGAUGGAAGUAAACGAUGACAGAAUUUCCAUUUUUGGAUGAACUAUUCCUCUCUUCUGCUAAAACAAUAUUAACAUCCCAUGGCUGUUCUCCAGCGAUGAGUCCAGAUGGAGAAUAUGCUGGUACCUGCUCUUCCCUUGCCACUGCCAGCGUAUUUACUCCAGCCCCCCCAGUACACCUUCUCUACACUCCAUCUGUGCCAACCUGCCGUCUCUCCAUCAGACAGUUACAGGUUCCGCCGUGCGUGGCAGACCUGCAGCUGUGCAGACAGCCAGCACAACAUCUGUGUGUCCUGUGAGACAGACGGGGGGAAUGUCCCGCUGAUCUAAUCAGCUGCAGUCGGCCUUAAGCACAGCUAUGAGCCAAUUCUCUGGCUGAGAUUUUGCCAAGUCGAGUGCUGUAUUAUUGCAUUGCGCCUGUAGUGUCCUGCUGGGCAUGGAUCGUGCAGAGAGCCAAUGGCAAACCAGCAGGCAGGUGGAGGUUUUCUCCCAUCCUCUAGGCUGGAAUCACUCCGAGAGAGCAAACCACAGGAGACGUGUCCAUGGGCAACGCCUAUCUAUGGACACAACAUCCUCAGCAUGCCUGGUGCACAUGACUUGCCCUCCUGAGAAAGAACACCCAGUGCCACCCUGAUAUCUGCUCUGUAAUAGUCACCAACAAGCUGCUCUCUCCUAAACUCCACAGAUGAACAGUAGCUUUUGCUCUCUGCCUCUCGUAAUCUGCACAGAGCUGAGCAUAAACAUUGUUAUUGGCUGCAAACCCAUCUUUUUCUCCAUUUCUUUAUUUGCUUCUUGUGAAAUCAGCCUGUCUGGUCUGAGCAGAAGCUUUGGGAAUCAAUGGUUGCUUUAAACACAAGCUUACAGUGCAAAACGUGCAUGUGAAAACUCGGUUUUGCUGCAGUAAAACAGCUCAUGCAUGAAGCGAACCCAUGAGCACAGGUGGAGUACAGGUUAAAAUCACAGUCACUGAUGUGAUUAAUGGAUGAAAUACUGUAAAUUGGUAAAUGAUAUCAAUCUGAUUUGAAAUAGAUAAGACACAAUAAAAUGACAUGGAUGUGUUUCUUUCAGGCAAAACCAGACGAGAGAAAGGAAACCUGGGAGCAAGGCUCUGUAAUUCAGGAAAUGGUGCAGCGGUUGUGCGUGGUGGAGGGUGGGUGGGGGGUUAUAGGAUGAUCUGGAGGGAAAGAAAUGACUUGUGCAGCUCACGUGAAGAAGGCAGGCAGCACUGAUAACAUUACUGAAUACUGAGAAAAGAAACAAAACGUGUGCCUCGAAAUUCAUUGUUAAAACAUGUGCCUGUCCUUGCAUUUCUGGUUCUUGGUUUUAUUGGCCAUUCGAAUUGUAUGUUAUGCUGCCAGUUGAGUUAAUCAUAACAGCACAGUGCAGGCACUUUCUAGUAAGUUGCAUCUGUCUUUCUGUAAAUGCAUUGCAAAUGUAUCAGGAUAAAUGAGUGAGCAGGCCUCAAGAAAGCAGACUGGAGCAGAGGGGUUAGCUGUGUUCCGCUGACUGACUCUAAUGAUGUGCUGUGGUUUUUGGCAGUGACGAGUGACAGCUACUGUAUACUGCAGCAUGCAUGGAUCUAUGCUGGAAGUUACAGACAAGAGCCUGCAAAGACAGGACAGGGGCAUUUUGUCGACAAAUCACAGUUGAAAUAGAAUGUGUAAUGGCUAAAGAAAUAUAUAAAUAUUAUUAUAAUCUUUUUUUUAUUUAUUUUUUAUCACACAGCUCAAUGGAAUACUUAAUUCUGAUUGUUCAAUCGUGGCAUUCUGCAGUCAAAUAUUUUUGUAUAAUAAAUGCUAGACUGUAUAUAAUUGAUUGUUGUCCCUUCGAUCGCUUGUAUCAUUCCAUAAAAUUAAACUUAA